rnacentral:rRNA from 1 species
CCACCUUUAAGACUGGGAUAACUUCGGGAAACCGGAGCUAAUACCGGAUAAUAUUUUGAACCGCAUGGUUCAAAAGUGAAAGACGGUCUUGCUGUCACUUAUAGAUGGAUCCGCGCUGCAUUAGCUAGUUGGUAAGGUAACGGCUUACCAAGGCAACGAUGCAUAGCCGACCUGAGAGGGUGAUCGGCCACACUGGAACUGAGACACGGUCCAGACUCCUACGGGAGGCAGCAGUAGGGAAUCUUCCGCAAUGGGCGAAAGCCUGACGGAGCAACGCCGCGUGAGUGAUGAAGGUCUUCGGAUCGUAAAACUCUGUUAUUAGGGAAGAACAUAUGUGUAAGUAACUGUGCACAUCUUGACGGUACCUAAUCAGAAAGCCACGGCUAACUACGUGCCAGCAGCCGCGGUAAUACGUAGGUGGCAAGCGUUAUCCGGAAUUAUUGGGCGUAAAGCGCGCGUAGGCGGUCCCUUAAGUCUGAUGUGAAAGCCCACGGCUCAACCGUGGAGGGUCAUUGGAAACUGGAAAACUUGAGUGCAGAAGAGGAAAGUGGAAUUCCAUGUGUAGCGGUGAAAUGCGCAGAGAUAUGGAGGAACACCAGUGGCGAAGGCGACCCCCUGGUCUGUAACUGACGCUGAUGUGCGAAAGCGUGGGGAUCAAACAGGAUUAGAUACCCUGGUAGUCCACGCCGUAAACUGAGUGCUCCCUGUUAGGGGGUUUCCGCCCCUUAGUGCUGCAGCUAACGCAUUAAGCACUCCGCCUGGGAGUACGACCGCAAGGUUGAAACUCAAAGGAAUUGACGGGGACCCGCACAAGCGGUGGAGCAUGUGGUUUAAUUCGAAGCAACGCGAAGAACCCCCCCAAAUCUUGACAUCCUUUGACAACUCUAGAGAUAGAGCCUUCCCCUUCGGGGGACAAAGUGACAGGUGGUGCAUGGUUGUCGUCAGCUCGUGUCGUGAGAUGUUGGGUUAAGUCCACGCAACGAGCGCAACCCUUAAGCUUAGUUGCCAUCAUCCCGUUGGGCACUCUAAGUUGACUGCCGGUGACAAACCGGAGGAAGGUGGGGAUGACGUCAAAUCAUCAUGCCCCUUAUGAUUUGGGCUACACACGUGCUACCCCGGACAAUACAAAGGGCAGCGAAACCGCGAGGUCAAGCAAAUCCCAUAAAGUUGUUCUCAGUUCGGAUUGUAGUCUGCAACUCGACUACAUGAAGCUGGAAUCGCUAGUAAUCGUAGAUCAGCAUGCUACGGUGAAUACGUUCCCGGGUCUUGUACACACCGCCCGUCACACCACGAGAGUUUUAGA